rnacentral:rRNA from 1 species
GAUUUCUGGCUUGAAACAUUUUGCCGGCCACGGUUUCGUGUGUUAGUGCUUGAUGUUCUGGCCAUCCUUCCAAUCGCUAUCUGCUUCCAUUCAUUUGUUAGCAGGUGGUAUUGGAUCUUUUACUUUGAAAAAAUUAGAGUGUUUCAAGCAGGCUAUUGCUAUGAAUACAUUAGCAUGGAAUAAUAAUUUAGGACUUCGGUUCUAUUUUGUUGGUUUCUAGGACUGAAGUAAUGAUUGAUAGGGAUAGUUGGGGGUGCUAGUAUUCAGCGGCCAGAGGUGAAAUUCUUGGAUUCGCUGAAGACUAACUUAUGCGAAAGCAUU